CUACGGGGGGCAGCAGUGAGGAAUAUUGCACAAUGGGGGGAACCCUGAUGCAGCAACGCCGCGUGGAGGAUGACGCAUUUCGGUGUGUAAACUCCUUUUAUAUGUCAAGAAAAUGACGGUAGCAUAUGAAUAAGCACCGGCUAACUCCGUGCCAGCAGCCGCGGUAAUACGGAGGGUGCAAGCGUUACUCGGAAUCACUGGGCGUAAAGGACGCGUAGGCGGGUUGGAAAGUCAGGUGUGAAAUCCUACAGCUUAACUGUAGAACUGCACUUGAAACUUCUAAUCUAGAGUAUGGGAGGGGGAGAUGGAAUUAGUGGUGUAGGGGUAAAAUCCGUAGAUAUCACUAGGAAUACCUAAAGCGAAGGCGAUCUCCUGGAACAUUACUGACGCUAAGGCGUGAAAGCGUGGGGAGCAAACAGGAUUAGAUACCCUAGUAGUC
rnacentral:rRNA from 1 species